CUUACCGGUGGCGAUGGGACUCGCCUGGGGCCUGCAAGGAUUCCCGAACCGCAAUUCCGCUGAUGGUUCCUAUUGACGC
rnacentral:ncRNA from 24 species